rnacentral:rRNA from 1 species
CCUGUGAACCUUUGGCCUCUUGCUAGCUUCGGCCGGCAGAGGAUUUUACACAAACUCGAAUGUAAUGAAAUUUAUUGUCGUGCGCAAGCACUAAUGUACAACUUUCAACAACGGAUCUCUUGGCUCUCGCAUCGAUGAAGAACGCAGCGAAAUGCGAUAAGUAAUGUGAAUUGCAGAAUUCAGUGAAUCAUCGAAUCUUUGAACGCACCUUGCACCCUUUGGCAUUCCGAAGGGUAUGCUCGUUUGAGUGUCAUUGUACUCUCACACUCCCAAUUUUUUGGAUUGGGAGCGGUGGACUUGGGUGUUGCUGCUUUACGGUGGCUCACCUCAAAUGGAGUAGUGCAACUCUCGGUUGGACAUAGUACGGCGUGAUAAGUGUCUUCGCCGGCGCCUCACUUAGAGGGUGGCCGAUCGGGAGCUCUGUGCUUCAAACCGUCUUCGGACAAUCUCUGACAACUUGACCUCAAAUCGAGUAGGACUACCCGCUGAACUUAAGCAUAUCAAUA